AAAUCUCACAAUAUGGAUCUUUUUUCAUUUGUGGACUUGGAUUUGCGAUUACUCAUGUAAUUGCUAAUCUGAAAUGGAUUUCAUGAAGCUAAACUCGCUUUUAUCUUUGCUUAAUAGUUUUGCUUUGCAAAUCUUUUGCAUUGAUUAAAAGCCCAAAAAGUGAAUUGAUUUUUUACGAAUUCAAAAUCUCAUU
rnacentral:misc_RNA from 1 species